rnacentral:rRNA from 1 species
GAUGAACGCUGGCGGCGUGCCUAACACAUGCAAGUCGAGCGGCAGCGAGGGGUGCUUGCACCCUGUCGGCGAGCGGCGGACGGCUGAGUAACGCGUGGGACCUUGCCCCAAGGGGAGAAAAACUGCCCGGAAGGGGUGGCUAAUCCCCAAUUUUAUCUCGGAAUAAAAGAUUUUACCGCUUUGGGAGCGGCUCGCGUCGGAUUAGGUAGGUGGUGAGGUAAUGGCUCACCAAGCCGACGAACCGUAGCUGGUCUGAGAGGAUGACCAGCCAGACUGGAACUGAGACACGGUCCAGACUCCUACGGGAGGCAGCAGUGAGGAAUCUUCCACAAUGGGCGAAAGCCUGAUGGAGCAACGCCGCGUGCAGGACGAAGGCCUUCGGGUUGUAAACUGCUUUUAUAAGUGAGGAAUAUGACGGUAACUUAUGAAUAAGGAUCGGCUAACUACGUG